GACGAGGAGCUUGCUCCUUUGACGUUAGCGGCGGACGGGUGAGUAACACGUGGGUAACCUACCUAUAAGACUGGGAUAACUUCGGGAAACCGGAGCUAAUACCGGAUAAUAUUUCGAACCGCAUGGUUCGAUAGUGAAAGAUGGCUUUGCUAUCACUUAUAGAUGGACCUGCGCCGUAUUAGCUAGUUGGUAAGGUAACGGCUUACCAAGGCAACGAUACGUAUCCGACCUGAGAGGGUGAUCGGCCACACUGGAACUGAUACACGGUCC
rnacentral:rRNA from 1 species